GGCAGUUCUCAGGUGACGCACCCCGGAAUCAGGCUCCCUCCUCUCUGGUUCCAGGUGCGUCACCCAAGAACCACA
rfam:Myotis lucifugus cont2.44387, whole genome shotgun sequence.